UACAGAGGGUGCGAGCGUUGUUCGGAAUUACUGGGCGUAAAGCGCGCGCAGGCGGCCCUUUAAGUCUACCCGUGAAAUGCCGGAGCUCAACUCCGCGCACGCCGGGGGAUACUGGGGGGCUGGAGACAUGUAGAGGCAAGCGGAAUUCCGGGUGUAGCGGUGGAAUGCGUAGAGAUCCGGAAGGAACGCCCGUGGCGAAAGCGAGGUCCUGGACGUCUACUGACGCUGAGACGCGAAAGCUAGGGGAGCGAACGGG
rnacentral:rRNA from 1 species